rnacentral:rRNA from 1 species
GAUCAUGGCUCAGGAUGAACGCUGGCGGCGUGCCUAAUACAUGCAAGUCGAACGCGAGCACUUGUGCUCGAGUGGCGAACGGGUGAGUAAUACAUAAGUAACCUGCCCUAGACAGGGGGAUAACUAUUGGAAACGAUAGCUAAGACCGCAUAGGUACGGACACUGCAUGGUGACCGUAUUAAAAGUGCCUCAAAGCACUGGUAGGAGAUGGACUUAGUGGCGCUAUUAGCGUUGGG